CCGACCGCAGUCGUCCCCGACCUCCUUGAUCCCCAAUCCCUCGCUGCACCCCGUGCCGCCGCGUCUCUAGGCCACCUCCGCCGCGCCCCCAGGCCCCGGUCGCCGUGCCCCAGGCCCCCGCCGCCGCGCCGCAUUGCUACCUCAGCUGCGACCCCAGGCCCCGGCCGCCGCGUCGCCCGGCCGCCUCCGUUGUGCCACCAGGCCAAGGCCGCCGCACUACCAGGCCACCUCCACCGCGCCGCCUACCUUCCUCGGCUACGCUGUUUGGCCCUACCUCGCCGCCGCGAUACUCCAGCCGGCGUCCCACCGCGCCACGCUGCUCUAGCCGACCUUCCACCUUGAUGUGUUUCCCGAGCCCCCCUCGCACUGCGAUGACGCCCCAGGUCGUUCACAGCCGCUACCCUAGUCCGUUCACCACUUCCAAUCAAUGCCGUUCAACAAGGGGGCGUUCAACAAAAGCAAUGACCUUCAACGAUCCGGUAGCCGGCGUCCGUCCUACUCCAUCGCCUUCGGUCUUUUUCCAGUUUGAGACGGUGAGAGCCGCCUGGGACGACUCGCUGGGGACCACGUUGCACCAUCGACAGCCUCCCCAAAGUGACUACUCCAAAAAAGACCCACAGGAAUGUGCUGCCCUCAGUCCUCUCUCGAACAAUCGAGCAGUGCAGGUUCUCCGGUGCGCCAAGUAUGCAAAAAUGUGGAUAACUUCAUUCCAGUAAAAGCAUGCAUCUGCGUAUUUCAUCUUUAAGGGUCCAGGACGGGAGUCUAGUUGUUUAUUCUUAUGCUUGGAGAACUUCUUCAGUUUGCAUGGGAGAACUUAUUCUAUUCCUGUUGCUCACAAGCUGUUUGUUGAUACGCCUAGAAGAACUGAAAUAAUCUUUUGUGAUGUUUCUUUGUUGUUAAAUAAUAGCUAACUUUUAUGCACAUGUUGACUAUAAAACAUUUGCUGUGGAGCAGUACACGUAUUUAAAAUUUUAUGUGGACUAUAAACAUUUGCUAUAGUUCAGCUUCAAAAACUUUAUAAGUACAGAGAUAUCACCUAGAUGUAACACAUUUGCUUUGGAGGCUCACAAGGGCAGUGAACUGUCAUGUUGAUGUUGUAUGUGCAUGGUGGAGGCCUCCUUCCUGUUGCUAUUUGCUCCAUAUUAAGAAUUGUUCUGUAAAAGUUAAUGGGAUGGCUGCAGUUAGGAGAUGAUGCUAGCAAGUUCAAACUCUCUUGAAUGGAUAGAUCAUAGUGCAGUUAGGAGAAGUGAUGUUAUGAAUAUGUUGUAUGCUAUAUCAGUGUGUGUUAUAAAAAAGUUCUAUUUGUGUUAAAUAAACAGUUCGGCAGUAGAUGAUAUAGUAAAUUCACUAAACCAGGAUUUGGCAAGCAGUUUUGUAAAAAGGUUUAUGAUGAUUUGCUCCGAUGUGAUUUUUUGUGUCUAUUUUAGCAGCCCAACAAGAUGAACCAUACACGCGAGGAGCCUCCCAAGCGCAGCAACUCCUCCGUCCAAGUCGAGCGCUAGGCGCCGUCCAUGUCGAGCACUGGGUGCCGUCCAAGUUAAGUCAUCCAAACAGCGGGAGAGCGAGCUUUGCUCCGGGGCAGCCCAUCCUAGACGAGCAGCUGCUCUGCUCUCCACACGAAUUUAGAUUGGAUUGGGUUGUGUGCAUGUCAGGCUCUAUCCGGCGGUGCUGCCUCGCGUCCGGUCGACGGCGUCCACGAGCGCGAGCAGCCCGUAUCCGGCGGCAAGAUGAAGGUCACCCGCGAACCAUGCUUCCCCUAAUCACCUCCACCUUGUGUGGAUUCAUUGUUGAGAAUAAGCACAAGCACCUACAGUCCCCCGAUGGUCUCCUUGGCCGCACUUGGCCACGAGCUCGUCCACCAUGGUGACUGGCAGCCGUCCAGGUGGAACAUGGACAUCAGUCCAAGCAGAACUAGUUCGUAUAAACUGACUAGCAUGUGUAAUUAGGGGAUCCAAUGUUGAAAAGUUCAAUUAAGCUGUGUGUGCAAAUUCAAAGAAUUAUUGUAGGAAAGUUUAGAAGUUUGGUUUCAUGAGGAAAAUGUAUGAUUUUUUGUCA